GGUCACCAAGGGCGAGACGCUGACAUAAACCCGCCGCCGCCGCCGGGCACCGGCCGCCGUGCCCCGCCGCCCCUGCUCGCAUCACCAAUAAACUGCUGUGCGCCUGCCCUGCCUGCUCUCCUCCUGUCCCUCCCCAGGGCUUUGGGCCCCUGCACGCUUGGCAGGGCUUUAGGGAGAGGGGCAUGCCCGCAGAUUGCCAGGCCUGGCCGCCUUCGGGGUGCUCCCUGGGGGCCGCAGAGGACUCCACCUCAGAGGGCGCCUAGACCCGUGGUGGGGUGGAGGACGUGGGCCCUGCGCCCGAGGAUGGCAGGAGCAGCCAGCACAGGGGCGAUCCACUCAGCCCCUUUGAGGCGCUCGUGUCUUCACUGACCUCGGCCUGUCAGUAUCGAGAGCGCCAGCUCACUGCUCUUGUCUGCUGUGUGUUGGGGAGACCUUGGAAUUGGUGUCAGUAAAGGCUUUCGUAUUCCCAGCAGGCUUUAAAUGUUUCUGCACGUUUUUCUGCAACCAGAAAUUCACUUCUUGGGGUGAGGAUGCCUUGUCCAUGAUGUUUACCUUCUUGGCCAUCGCUGUAACUUUAUGCUUUGCCUUUUUAUCUUCAGGGUUGGUAGGUGUGACAUCUGCUAGCUGCUCCCCAAUAGGUGUUUUCCCCAGACAUCAGAGUUUAGUUGUCUGUAAGCAGCUCUGUGCUGUGGUCUCAUUCAAUACGGUGACUUCUCUAGGYCUUCUCUCUGCUUAUAUAGCCAGAUAUAUAUGCUUUACUGUCAGGUAGAGCUGCAUAUCCCAAGGGCUUAGCUGCUUCUUGGUGGGUGGUACUCAUGGAAUUAACACUUUGUACCAGUGAUGUAGAGCUUACCUCAGAGUGCAACGGCUGCAGGGUGUGUGUGUUACAGAAGUAGAUGCCGAAUGCUCAGAGAUGUUGUUGUUGUCACGGCAUGUGAGACGAGUACUUAGAGGGAAAGCUCCUGUGUCUUUCCUCUGAGGCAGUUCCUGUAUUGCUUAGGUGCACAGAAAGUCUGCGCUGCCUGUCCGUGUCACCUCUACUGAACRUACUUCUGGAUGGGCUGCAGUAGAGUCUUGAAAUUUUGAUCCUUACAUAUUCUCAGAACUUGGCUGGACAAAGCCUGGAAUAGUGUGAUUUUUUUUUACUGUGGUUCUGCUUUGAGUUGACCUAAAGACAUCUAGAGACCCUAUCCUAGUAUUCCUCACCCAAAGAUUGAAGAGAGCACUGUAGACAUCCCUGGCACCCUUCUAGACUGACCUGUUUGCUUGAGAUACGCUCCGUAUUGGUGUGCAGGGUCUCUUGGUUUUUCUUGGUCUCCUGACAGGCCGUUACAGCUUACCCUCUCUUCCUUCCCUUGCCCCAGCAUUUCUCACAGGAGUUGGUGAUGCUCGUUGAGUUCAGCAUGGCCACGAUUUUGGAUGUUGUGAUAUGUCUUUUGCAAGACCCUGCUCCUCAAGGAGGGAAUGUCGUAGUAGUUCUGCAUGCCAUCCUCGCAAGAUCGCGUUCUCCAUCUGGUGCCUGUUACUGCUUGUUCUGGGUCGUCUGCUGAAGGUGAAGCCUGCUGAUCAUCAGUGGGAUGCAGCUUCUUGCAGCAUAUGGUCUUCUAGCGGAUGGAGUUUCGGUAUUUUUGAAGAACUCAGAUUUUGUUUUAAAGACAGAAGUG